CAGUAGCCGCGGGAAUACGUAGGUGGCAAGCGUUGUCCGAAUUUAUUGGGCGUAAAGCGAGCGCAGGCGGUCAAUUAAGUCUGAUGUGAAAGCCCCCGGCUCAACCGGAGAGGGUCAUUGGAAACUGGUUGACUUGAGUGCAGAAGAGGAGAGUGGAAUUCCAUGUGUAGCGGUGAAAUGCGUAGAUAUAUGGAGGAACACCAGUGGCGAAGGCGACUCUCUGGUCUGUAACUGACGCUGAGGCUCGAAAGCGUGGGUAGCAAACAGGAUUAGAGACCCCUGUAGUCCCUGUCUCUUAUAC
rnacentral:rRNA from 1 species